rnacentral:tRNA from 2 species
GGGCCGGUAGUUCAGCGGUAGAAUGCCCGCCUUGCACGCGGGAGGUCGCGGGUUCGAAUCCCGCCCGGUCCA